UCCCCAGUAUUGUAAAAGUUGUUAACCACAUACCUCCGAGCCGCUGGAAAAAGGAAGGUGGACUCAACUCAGCCCAGGAGUACAGGCUUGCUUCCUUCAAAGAUGAGUACUCAUUGACCUGUAUGAGAAAUACUUACAGGUAUCAAGGAGACUAAAAUCACACUUGAAACUACUAUGCAAGUGUUCAUACAUACCGGUCUCUGCUCAAAUGGAACCUCGAUCUCCAAGCCUGGAUCCCAGCUCUGACUUGCAAUUGGAGUACAAUAUACAUGGAGCCUCAACAUUUGUUUUAAGAAGGCGCCACGUCACCUCUCACCUAAUUCACAAAAGCUGAUUUCGCUUCAUACAAUUCUGUUACGAAUUUAUGGACUUUUGGUAUAAAUUGGAGGGAAGAGAAGGAACCUUUUGAUAAGUUACUUGUUAAGUUUAGAUAUGGCAGCUGUUGUAUGUUCAAGACCGUAAAUUAUUUACGUGGAGGAGAACAAUAGUGCAAUAUAAUGGGGAACAGAUCGAGAUUUUUUUAAGAGCAUGGACCCACAAAUUUCCCUGGUCUUAAAAGCAGAGCAGGCAAUAAAUGCCUGCCAUUUCAUGAAGUGGUCCUUAGAAAUUGGAAGUUUAUACUCUGCUGUCCCACGAUUGCAGGUGAAUUAUCCUAAUUUUUUUGGGACGUUUGUGGUUUGUAUUAGUUUUCCUGCUGUGUAGAAUUCUACAGUAGUAAUCUAGUUUACAAGUAUGUUUUAGGAUAAAAUUGAAAUGAAAGUAACGUGCAGCAUGACAAUCGCUUGCUUACACGCUUCAUUUCGCGUCUUUCUUAUUUCUUCCAUGUUCAAGCUUGAGUCAAUCGUUAUCAGAAACCCUGUACAUGGUGGCUAAGCCAUGGUUGUUUAUAGAAAAUGCGUUCUUGAAAUUUCAACUGUUUGGCUCAUGUGAGUCUCCUACUGCAGCAUGUUACAUUAGGAAAGAAGUGCUAUCAAGAUCUAUCCUAGCUACACUGGUUCUGCUCUAACUGAAUUUUCAUUGCCUCUGGAAGAGAUGUCAAGUGCUGUCCAUUUAUGAAAUCGAGUAAUCAGAAAAAGCGAAGCAGAUUGAACGGUGAGGCCACAGAUUAAGCCAAUCCAAAGACCCUAAACCACAGAUCA